rnacentral:rRNA from 1 species
UAGAUGCGAGAGUAGAGCAUAUCAAUAAGCGGAGGAAAAGAAACUAACAAGGAUUCCCUUAGUAACGGCGAGUGAAGCGGGAAGAGCUCAAAUUUGAAAUCUUCAAGGUUCUACCUUGACGAAUUGUAGUUUAUAGAAGUGUUUUCUGUUAGUGGAGAGGCAAAAGUUCUUUGGAAUAGGACAUCAUAGAGGGUGAGAAUCCCGUAUUUGGUCAUUCCUCCUAGCGUUGUGAUACACUUUCAACGAGUCGGAUUGUUUGGGAAUGCAGUCCAAAAUGGGUGGUAAAUUUCAUCUAAAGCUAAAUAUUGGCGAGAGACCGAUAGCGAACAAGUACCGUGAGGGAAAGAUGAAAAGAACUUUGAAAAGAGAGUUAAACAGUACGUGAAAUUGUCAAAAGGGAAGCGUUUGACACCAGUGUUGUUUUUCCGAAAAUCAAUUACGAAUGUUUUGUUUUUGAGGAGUUAUGACUUCAUCGGCUUGCUCCUUUCAUUAUGAAACUUUCUUAAUGCACUUUUCGGUUGACAAGUCAACAUCAAUUUCUUUUGUUGUAAAAGGGUAUGAGGAAGGUGGCUUUCUUUUCGGAGAAAGUGUUUAUAGCCUUGUGCCUCUGCAAUCGGAGAGAUUGAGGUCUGCAGCGUAGAUCCUUCGGGGUUAGAUAGCAUUUGUGCUAAGUUAUAGCCUUUCAUAGACAACUUGUUGACUAUGAUUAGUCAUUGUAGCUUACUCGCUUAUGUCACUAUUUUACCUACGCUUAGGAUGUUGACGCGCGUGUGUGCGUG